GUGCUUGCUUUGGCAGCACAUAUACUAAAAUUGAAACAAUACAGAGAGGAUCAGCAUGACCCCUGCACAAGGAUGACCACAAAUUUGUGAAGUGUUCCUUAUUUUA
ensembl:snRNA U6 U6 spliceosomal RNA